ACUCCUACGGGAGGCAGCAGUGGGGAAUCUUAGACAAUGGGCGAAAGCCUGAUCUAGCCAUGCCGCGUGUGUGAUGAAGGCCCUAGGGUCGUAAAGCACUUUCGCCAGGGAUGAUAAUGACAGUACCUGGUAAAGAAACCCCGGCUAACUCCGUGCCAGCAGCCGCGGUAAUACGGAGGGGGUUAGCGUUGUUCGGAAUUACUGGGCGUAAAGCGUACGUAGGCGGAUCAGAAAGUUGGGGGUGAAAUCCCAGGGCUCAACCCUGGAACUGCCUCCAAAACUCCUGGGUCUUGAGUUCGAGAGAGGUGAGUGGAAUUCCAAGUGUAGAGGUGAAAUUCGUAGAUAUUUGGAGGAACACCAGUGGCGAAGGCGGCUCACUGGCUCGAUACUGACGCUGAGGUACGAAAGUGUGGGGAGCAAACAGGAUUAGAUA
rnacentral:rRNA from 1 species